rnacentral:rRNA from 1 species
GAUUUCUGGCUUGAAACAUUUUGCCGGCCACGGUUUCGUGUGUUAGUGCUUGAUGUUCUGGCCAUCCUUCCAAUCGCUAUUGGCUAUUCUUCAUUGAAUGGUCAGUAGUAUUGGAUCUUUUACUUUGAAAAAAUUAGAGUGUUUCAAGCAGGCAUGUUUUGCUAUGAAUACAUUAGCAUGGAAUAAUAAUCUAGGACUUUCGGUUCUAUUUUGUUGGUGUUCUGGAGCUGAAGUAAUGAUUGAUAGGGAUAGUUGGGGGUGCUAGUAUUCAAUGGCCAGAGGUGAAAUUCUCGGAUUCCUUGAAGACUAACUUAUGCGAAAGCAUU